rnacentral:lncRNA from 1 species
CUCAAACAAUCAGGCAAUGAAUCCCAAGACGUAUAUUUAGACCUUUUCUUGGCGGAUUCCUCCCCCUAUACAAGGUAAAGUAACAAAACAAACUGCAAGCAAUGAACUUGUUCAAACCGAAUCCUAACAGCUCAUUAGGUGACAUGUUCAAGCUUAAACUCAUGGUGCCUAAUGAAACUAGGCUAAUUCUCAGCCUCUAAUAAAGAAAGUUCUAACCAUGAACAAGCAGCAAACUCCAUAAGAAUCCUGAUUGUAGCCAAGGGAAACGAAACAUGUGAACUCUUUCAUCUUUCAAACAUUUUGGAAUUAAAAAAAUUGUAUGAUAGAACGGGUGCAGUUCUAAACACCAUUUACAUAUACGUAUAAGUUAUAUCCCUUACAUUAGAUGGCAUAAAAGCCAAUAUCAUUAGCACAGCUAAAAUGCCUAUUGGAAGCAGAAGCAGCAAGAAAGGUGGGGGAGGCAAUGGAGGAAGUAUCAAGGGAAGGAUCAGCAAGGAUGCUGUUAGACAUACAAGCAGAAGCAGUGAUUCCAAGCUGAAGUAGCUCACUGGUAAUAAUCUUCUGGCACCCCCUUGUGAGAAAGAGCGAUGAUAUUCCACCUUUUUCCUCUCAACAACCGACGUAGGAACUUUCCCUGCUCUCAUGUCCAUAAUGCUAUUUGAGUAUCGAUCCUGCAGAUUAAAAAUACCUCUAGGAAAUCUCCUGUUCAACCCAGAGAGCUCAACUCUCAUUUAAAAUUCUCUUACUUGCCUGGUUGACACCCCAGAUCCGAUUGAACCCUUUGUCAGCUAAUAAGUUUAUAAUCACAGCCAAAUCAACAAUGUCGAUGAUGACUAAUGCAGAUUGCAGAUGGGAAUACAGAUAAAUCCAAUUCGGUGAAACCCCAGGAUACUCUCUUUGAAAUGCAAUGAUAUAGCCAGUCAACCUAGAACGGGGACUGACCAAGUUUAGGCAAUAAGUACAAAUUUGUCUUCAAUGCACGAAUUUAAGUUGAGCAACACUCUAAAAUGUAGCCAAGCCUCAGCAUUGGAAGCCUGGCUUUUUCACACCAAAGAAAAAUACUCCGUAAUGGCAGCAGUUGUAGCUAAAUCCAGAUUAUUAAAUGCGGCAAAAUUUGAAAGUUUCUUCAAACCAAGGAGAGGAAGCUUUGCGCACAAUGUGAUGUAAGCAAGACUCAGAUUCUGCAAUGCAGUCCAGGUCAGCCAACUUCUAACAGUAUUGGAUGCAACUAUGGUUGAAGAAUGCGGAUCAAUAGAUUCAAGGAAUUCAGGUGUUAACAACUUAGCAUCAGCAAAUUUGAAGCAACUAUAAACCAAAAUCUUUAUAUCUAUCUUUAAGCAGGGAUUCAGCAGACAUCAGAUUGUACGCCAUGAAACAUCAUCCCCAAUGAUCCAGCUGCAUUAAUUCCAAGAUUUCAAUCAAUUCAAGACGAAGACGAGCCAUCAAUCAUAGCAUCAAAAGCUCAGGAAAUGAAGAACAUUAAGGUAAUCGAACCACUCUACAUCAGUAAUAUUGGAAAUAAAA